rnacentral:rRNA from 1 species
UACGAAGGGGGCUAGCGUUGUUCGGAUUUACUGGGCGUAAAGCGCACGUAGGCGGAUCGUUAAGUCGGGGGGUGAAAUCCUGGAGCUCAACUCCAGAACUGCCUUUGAUACUGAGGAUCUUGAGUUCGGGAGAGGUGAGUGGAACUGCGAGUGUAGAGGUGAAAUUCGUAGAUAUUCGGAAGAACACCAGUGGCGAAGGCGACACACUGGCCCGUUACUGACGCUGAGGCGCGAAAGCGUGGGGAGCAAACAGGG